AAAGGGUUUCUGCACUGGGCUGGAGACAGGAAUUCACUAAACUGUCUUCAGUCUUUCUCUCUCUCUCUCUCUCUCUCUCUCUCUCUCUCUCUCUCUCUCCCUCCCUCCCUCUCUCUCUCUCUCUCUCCCCCCCACCAUUCCCCAUGCCCAUGCCCAUCUCUAUUUUAAGACGGACUAAAUUGCCCAAGCUGGUCUUGAACUCAUUCUGUAGCCCAGACUAGUCUUGAGUUCAUAAUCCUCCUGCUUCAACCUCCACAGUAGUGGGAUUACAGACAGUCCCAGAUGAAGUUUCCUAACACUGGUCAAUCUGAGCUCACUUCAUCCUCUGUGCCUGUUGAUUGCCACAAGAAGCCCAAGACACAGGAGGGGUGCAGGGCAGAAUUUGGGGAGCACAGCUGUAUUCAGAGCCUCCUUGCCUGCAUUGGAGUAACUUGUGUGCUGAGAAGACAUGCACACACAAACACACACACACAGACCAGGCAAUAGGACCACGGGACAAUGUGGGGACACCAGCAUUCAUGUGGGGGCUGUAGCUGUGGAUAUUGAGACAAGGCAAAGGUUUGAGGCUGCUGGAAAGAGACUGCUCUGUUCAGCUCUCCGUGCUGGGAAAGAUACGACUGUUACUCAGGCUUCCCGAGGUUAGUAAGUGUAACAACUGUCUCUCCCUCCCUGCCUUUUCUGUUCUGUGAGACCUCUGCUGCUGCAGGAGCAUCCAGAUUUGCUUCCAUUUCCUGACUUCUAUAAGAAGAGCAGCAAUAAGCCUGAUCCGUGCAAGUGUCCCUGCGGCAGGGUGUGGAGCCCU
rnacentral:lncRNA from 1 species